UGGAAUAUAGCUCAAUGACAGAGUGCAUGCUUUGCAUGCAGAAGGACCUAGGUUCGGUCCCUGGUGUCCAG